AAAGAAACCAACCGGGAUUGCCUCAGUAACGGCGAGUGAAGCGGCAAGAGCUCAAAUUUGAAAUCUGGCCCCUUCGGGGUCCGAGUUGUAAUUUGCAGAGGAUGCUUCGGAUGCGGCCCCUGUCUAAGUGCCCUGGAACGGGCCGUCGGAGAGGGUGAGAAUCCCGUCUGGGAUGGGGUGUCCGUGUCCGUGUGAAGCUCCUUCGACGAGUCGAGUUGUUUGGGAAUGCAGCUCUAAAUGGGUGGUAAAUUUCAUCUAAAGCUAAAUACUGGCCGGAGACCGAUAGCGCACAAGUAGAGUGAUCGAAAGAUGAAAAGCACUUUGAAAAGAGAGUUAAACAGCACGUGAAAUUGUUGAAAGGGAAGCGCAUGCGACCAGACUCGCUCGCGGGGUUCAGCCGGCAUUCGUGCCGGUGUACUUCCCCGCGGGCGGGCCAGCGUCGGUUUGGGCGGCCGGUCAAAGGCCCCCGGAAUGUAUCACCUCUCGGGGUGUCUUAUAGCCGGGGGUGCAAUGCGGCCAGCCUGGACCGAGGAACGCGCUUCGGCACGGACGCUGGCAUAAUGGUCGUAAGCGAC
rnacentral:rRNA from 4 species